AGUGAACGCUGGCGGUAGGCCUAACACAUGCAAGUCGAACGGCAGCACAGUAAGAGCUUGCUCUUACGGGUGGCGAGUGGCGGACGGGUGAGGAAUACAUUGGAAUCUACUUUUUCGUGGGGGAUAACGUAGGGAAACUUACGCUAAUACCGCAUACGACCUACGGGUGAAAGCAGGGGAUCUUCGGGCCUUGCGCGAUUGAAUGAGCCGAUGUCGGAUUAGCUAGUUGGCGGGGUAAAGGCCCACCAAGGCGACGAUCCGUAGCUGGUCUGAGAGGAUGAUCAGCCACACUGGAACUGAGACACGGUCCAGACUCCUACGGGAGGCAGCAGUGGGGAAUAUUGGACAAUGGGCGCAAGCCUGAUCCAGCCAUACCGCGUGGGUGAAGAGGGCCUUCGGGUUGUAAAGCCCUUUUGUUGGGAAAGAAAAGCAGCAGGUUAAUACCCCGCUGUUCUGACGGUACCCAAAGAAUAAGCACCGGCUAACUUCGUG
rnacentral:rRNA from 1 species